rnacentral:rRNA from 1 species
GACGGAGGAUGCAAGUGUUAUCCGGAAUCACUGGGCGUAAAGCGUCUGUAGGUGGUUUAAUAAGUCAACUGUUAAAUCUUGAGGCUCAACCUCAAAAUCGCAGUCGAAACUAUUAGGCUAGAGUAUAGUAGGGGUAAAGGGAAUUUCCAGUGGAGCGGUGAAAUGCGUAGAGAUUGGAAAGAACACCGAUGGCGAAGGCAGCUUACUGGGCUGUAACUGACGCUGAUGCACGAAAGUGUGGGGAUCAAACAGG